rnacentral:hammerhead_ribozyme from 1 species
GCACUGCUGAGGAGUCCCAUAAUAAGACGAAACGGCCGUUCAGUGU